UACGAAGGGGGCUAGCGUUGUUCGGAUUUACUGGGCGUAAAGCGCACGUAGGCGGUUUGUUAAGUCAGAGGUGAAAUCCCGGAGCUCAACUCCGGAACUGCCUUUUGAUACUGGCAAGCUAGAGUCCGGAAGAGGUAAGUGGAACUCCUAGUGUAGAGGUGGAAUUCGUAGAUAUUAGGAAGAACACCAGUGGCGAAGGCGGCUUACUGGUCCGGAACUGACGCUGAGGUGCGAAAGCGUGGGGGAGCAAAACAGG
rnacentral:rRNA from 1 species